rnacentral:rRNA from 1 species
CGCGUAGGCGGCUUCUCAAGCGUGUGGUGAAAGUCCGGGGCUCAACCCCGGAUCGGCCGUGCGGACUGGGGAGCUCGAGUUCUGUAGAGGCGGGUGGAAUUCCGGGUGUAGCGGUGGAAUGCGUAGAGAUCCGGAAGAACACCGGUGGCGAAGGCGGCCCGCUGGGCAGAGACUGACGCUGAGGCGCGACAGCGUGGGGAGCAAACAGGAUUAGAUACCCUGGUAGUCCACGCCGUAAACGAUGGGCACUAGGUGCUUGGGGGAGCGACCCUCUGAGUGCCGGCGCUAACGCAUUAAGUGCCCCGCCUGGGGAGUACGGCCGCAAGGCUGAA